UCUCCGUUGGUGAACCAGCGGAGGGAUCAUUACCGAGUUUACAACUCCCAAACCCCUGUGAACUUAUACCUUUACUGUUGCUUCGGCGGGUCAUUGCCCCGGGGAAACAGGCGGCCGUCAGGUCCCUGCCCACCCGGGAACAGGCGCCCGCCGGGGGACUCAAACUCUUCUGUAUUUUUUUGUUUACUGUAUACUGUCUGAGUAAAAAUUCAUAAUGAAUCAAAACUUUCAACAACGGAUCUUUUGGUUCUG
rnacentral:misc_RNA from 1 species